GUCUGUGUAGUCAUGAUCUGACCAUGUUAACAAUUCUAUAUUUACAAAUUGAACAAGACUUGCUUUCAUCAAAAUGACCUUUAAAUUGGACAACAAACUUGUCCCUUUAUUAAUGUAAUUAAAUGGUCAGCUUUCUAGUUUUGAUGUAUGUCAUAAAGGUCACCAUAUCAUUCCCUUCAAUGUAUUGGAUAUCUUGCAUUUUUCAUUGCUUUGGCCCGAAAUAAGAGGUUGGUAAAAGGGAGCUAUGAACACUAUGAUAGUCUUUCGAAGGGGACGAUAAAUGACUGACCCGUGUUAUGAGAGAGACAUAUUUCUUGCACGUUAAAGACGCUCUUGUACGAUUAUGAAAAAGAGCAGGCUUAUGCCGCUACAAGGCAGCAC
rnacentral:lncRNA from 1 species